UUUUAUUGUAUUGUUAUUUUUAUUGUUUUUUUCCUAAUGUUUUUGAGCCCUGAUUGGUUGAAUCCACAGGUGCAGAUGGCCAAGUACAUACAAAUGUAUUUUAAUCAAAUCAAGGUAAUAAUUUCUCUUUUGUCUCUUUUUGAGCGUUAAUUUUCUUAUUUCAUACAUGUGAGUGAAUACAUAUGAUUUUGGAGGUACAACAAUGAUAAAACAUAAUACUAGUCUUAAGGAGGCUGUAGUCUAGAGAAAGUCCCCCCACAUAAAGAGGUGAUUAGGAUGUAAUAUGUUACGUGCUAUGAGAAGGUAAAAUGAUCAAGGAGUCUGGUGGGGGUCAGAAAAGGCUUCUCAGAGGUGGUGAAGUGUUAGCAAAUAUUUGAAGGAUGAAUAGGAGAUAUUCAAACAAAGAAAAGAAAAGGAAAUCCCAGAAAAGGAGGUAACUUGAGCCAUAGUUGGGCGGUAAGAGAAAGCAUGGACCCUCCAAAAGACAGGGAGAGUCCUGGUCACCAAGGGUCUUGUAUCUGGAGCAGUCAAGUCUCUUUUGUUGGCAAGUUUAAAAAUAUAAAUCCAAACAGAAACUGAAGACUGGGGGUGCAGUGGUUUGAGCAAGCCUGGAUCCAAGUGCUUGGACAUGUCAGAAGUCUGUGCUCAGUCUCUGCUGUUGGCCCAUCUCUUGCAGGCCAAGUCCCUCAUGUCCAGAUGGCCACCAGCAGCUCCAGGCUCGGAUUCUCCCAUUUUGCAAACCCAGCAGAAGGAACUCUUGCUGACCAGUAGUUCCCAAGACUGAUUUUCUGUGGGGCUGGUGGAGAUGAAUGGCCAACCCUGAAUCAGUCACUGCACCAGGGGGAUGAUCCCUCUUUCUGCCUUGGAGCUGGCUUAUCAGAGGGGUCAGCCUAGGAUUUAUGAGAUACUCCCUCACACAACCUGAGAAGAAAUUAAGAAACAACUUUUACUUCAGAACUGAAAACUGUCUGGAAAACCAGAGAAGUGCUGAAUGUCACUGUAAAGAAACGAAAAACAGGAGGCGACGUGUGCUGGGCAGAUGGGACAUGGCUUUCUGUGUUUCCGUAGGUAAUUGCAACAGCAUUAAGAAAAUGUGAGAAAGAUAUUAGCAUGGCACAAAUGCCUGUUCAUCUCCGCUUUUAAAUGUCUCUGAGUUGAAUUAAACCACAGUGGUAAUGUAGAGUUUUUCAAAGUAUACAUAAAUGAUAUUUUAGUUUUGCUAGCUAUGAAUUUAAAUAUUUGAUUACUUUUUGAUAUGCCAUUUCUAAAUUACCUCUAAAAUUAAGACCAAAAUAAUAAAUACACAUAAUACUAAUGUUUCAGAAAUGAGCUCCACCAUUACUUACAGUGUGAUCAUACAAACUAACACCUUGUAAUAAUUAGUCACCUUUUGUCAAUAUUUAUUUGAAUAGCCAACAACAGCAUAGAGGAUGUGCAUUGACUGCUAAGCCUAGAAUGCUAGAAAAAUAAGGAAAGGCUGCGCUUCCUUUCCUCGGCGUGAUCUGUCCACCUGCUAUCUGUGGGGAACUUGGCUGCUGAGCGAAUCGCUCUGUUCUAUGUAUAGCUUUGUUGAUUUACAUAGUUCUCCAAAAGGCACACACCCAGGGUUUUGUUUCAAGUGAAUAAUGUUAACAGACAAACUGUCUAAUAAACCUGAAAUGUUCUCCCAGGGGAUGGAGAGAAAGCGAAGAUCCUUGGAUAAUUUCAGUGUUUUCCUUCUUGACCUUGGGUCCGUCUGUCUGAAAUUGACAUGAAGGUUGGAAUCAACCUCUUGGGUUCAGCUAAGGGAUGUGUGGAACGCUGACGGGAAUGAGAUACUCCUACCCCUAGGCUUUUAGGGAGCAGAUGUGUCUUCCUCUCAAGACAGUCUGUGUGGGGUAGAUGAGUUGGCUCUGGACAGCCCUAAAACAAAUCAUAGCUGGCCAGGUGCGAUGGCUCACGCCUGUAAUCCCAGCACUUUGGGAGGCCGAGGCGGCAGAUCACCUGAGGUCGGGAGUUUGAGACCAGCCUGACCAACAUGGAGAAACCCUGUCUCUACUGAAAAUACAAAAUUAGCUGGUUGUGGUGGCACGUGACUAUAAUCCCAGCUACUAGGGAG
rnacentral:lncRNA from 10 species